AACACGUGGGGAACCGUGCCCCAUAGUCUGGGAUACCACUUGGAAACAGGUGCUAAUACCGGAUAAGAAAGCGGAUCGCAUGAUCAGCUUUUAAAAGGCGGCGUAAGCUGUCGCUAUGGGAUGGCCCCGCGGUGCAUUAGCUAGUUGGUAAGGUAAAGGCUUACCAAGGCGAUGAUGCAUAGCCGAGUUGAGAGACUGAUCGGCCACAUUGGGACUGAGACACGGCCCAAACUCCUACGGGAGGCAGCAGGC
rnacentral:rRNA from 1 species